GAUGAACGCUGGCGGCGUGCCUAAUACAUGCAAGUCGAGCGAACAGACGAGGAGCUUGCUCCUCUGACGUUAGCAGCGGACGGGUGAGUAACACGUGGAUAACCUACCUAUAAGUCUGGGAUAACUUCGGGAAACCGGAGCUAAUACCGGAUAAUAUAUUGAACCGCAUGGUUCAAUAGUGAAAGACGGUUUUGCUGUCACUUAUAGAUGGAUCCGCGCCGCAUUAGCUAGUUGGUAAGGUAACGGCUUACCAAGGCAACGAUGCGUAGCCGACCUGAGAGGGUGAUCGGCCACACUGGAACUGAGACACGGUCCAGACUCCUACGGGAGGCAGCAGUAGGGAAUCUUCCGCAAUGGGCGAAAGCCUGACGGAGCAACGCCGCGUGAGUGAUGAAGGUCUUCGGAUCGUAAAACUCUGUUAUUAGGGAAGAACAAAUGUGUAAGUAACUAUGCACGUCUUGACGGUACCUAAUCAGAAAGCCACGGCUAACUACGUG
rnacentral:rRNA from 1 species